rnacentral:rRNA from 1 species
AUUGAACGCUGGCGGCAUGCCUUACACAUGCAAGUCGAACGGCAGCACGGGUGCUUGCACCUGGUGGCGAGUGGCGAACGGGUGAGUAAUACAUCGGAACAUGUCCUGUAGUGGGGGAUAGCCCGGCGAAAGCCGGAUUAAUACCGCAUACGAUCUACGGAUGAAAGCGGGGGACCUUCGGGCCUCGCGCUAUAGGGUUGGCCGAUGGCUGAUUAGCUAGUUGGUGGGGUAAAGGCCUACCAAGGCGACGAUCAGUAGCUGGUCUGAGAGGACGACCAGCCACACUGGGACUGAGACACGGCCCAGACUCCUACGGGAGGCAGCAGUGGGGAAUUUUGGACAAGGGGCGAAAGCCUGAUCCAGCAAUGCCGCGUGGGUGAAGAAGGCCUUCGGGUUGUAAAGCACUUUUGUCCGGAAAGAAAUCCUUGGCUCUAAUACAGUCGGGGGAUGACGGUACCGGAAGAAUAAGCACCGGCUAACUACGU